AUUGAAACACCACCUCCUAUACGAUCACCAAAGUUAAGCAACAUCAAGCCUGGCCAGUACCUAGAUGGUUGACCACUUGGGAAUACCAGGUACUGUAAG